GAUGAACGCUGGCGGCGUGCUUAACACAUGCAAGUCGAACGGAGCUUAUACGAUUGAGGAUUCGUCCAAAUGACUAUAAGCUUAGUGGCGGACGGGUGAGUAACGCGUGAGCAAUCUGCCUUGGAGUGGGGAAUAACAGUCCGAAAGGACUGCUAAUACCGCAUGAUGCAUAAGGACCGCAUGAUUCUUAUGCCAAAGAUUUAUCGCUCUGAGAUGAGCUCGCGUCUGAUUAGCUAGUUGGCGGGGUAACGGCCCACCAAGGCGACGAUCAGUAGCCGGACUGAGAGGUUGGACGGCCACAUUGGGACUGAGACACGGCCCAGACUCCUACGGGAGGCAGCAGUGGGGAAUAUUGGGCAAUGGGCGCAAGCCUGACCCAGCAACGCCGCGUGAAGGAAGAAGGCUUUCGGGUUGUAAACUUCUUUUCUUAGGGACGAAGAAAGUGACGGUACCUAAGGAAUAAGCCACGGCUAACUACGUGCCAGCCGCCGCGGUAAUAC
rnacentral:rRNA from 1 species